GGACGAACGCUGGCGGCGUGCCUAAUACAUGCAAGUCGAACGAGUCCUCCCAAUUUGAUUUUAUGCUUGCAUAAAUGAUUUUUGGAUUCGGGACGAGUGGCGAACUGGUGAGUAACACGUGGGUAACCUGCCCUAAAGCAGGGGAUAACAUUUGGAAACAGAUGCUAAUACCGUAUAAUUAGUUGGAACCACAUGGUUCCAACUUGAAAGAUGGCUCUGCUAUCACUUUAGGAUGGACCCGCGGCGUAUUAGCUAGUUGGUGAGAUAAAAGCUCACCAAGGCGAUGAUACGUAGCCGACCUGAGAGGGUAAUCGGCCACAUUGGGACUGAGACACGGCCCAGACUCCUACGGGAGGCAGCAGUAGGGAAUCUUCCACAAUGGACGAAAGUCUGAUGGAGCAACGCCGCGUGAGUGAAGAAGGGUUUCGGCUCGUAAAACUCUGUUGUUAAAGAAGAACAAGUGUAAGAGUAACUGUUUACGCUUUGACGGUAUUUAACCAGAAAGCCACGGCUAACUACGUGCCAGCAGCCGCGGUAAUACGUAGGUGGCAAGCGUUGUCCGGAUUUAUUGGGCGUAAAGCGAGCGCAGGUGGUCUUUUAAGUCUGUUGUGAAAGCCCUCAGCUCAACUGAGGAAGUGCAGCGGAAACUAGGAGACUUGAGUACAGAAGAGGAUAGUGGAACUCCAUGUGUAGCGGUGAAAUGCGUAGAUAUAUGGAAGAACACCAGUGGCGAAGGCGGCUAUCUGGUCUGUUACUGACACUGAGGCUCGAGAGCAUGGGUAGCGAACAGGAUUAGAUACCCUGGUAGUCCAUGCCGUAAACGAUGAAUACUAGGUGUUGGAGGGUUCCGCCCUUCAGUGCCGCAGCUAACGCAUUAAGUAUUCCGCCUGGGGAGUACGACCGCAAGGUUGAAACUCAAAGGAAUUGACGGGGGCCCGCACAAGUGGUGGAGCAUGUGGUUUAAUUCGAUGCUACGCGAAGAACCUUACCAGGUCUUGACAUCUUCUGCCAACCUAAGAGAUUAGGCGUUCCCUUCGGGGACAGAAUGACAGGUGGUGCAUGGUUGUCGUCAGCUCGUGUCGUGAGAUGUUGGGUUAAGUCCCGCAACGAGCGCAACCCUUAUUAUUAGUUGCCAGCAUUAAGUUGGGCACUCUAGUGAGACUGCCGGUGAUAAACCGGAGGAAGGUGGGGAUGACGUCAAAUCAUCAUGCCCCUUAUGACCUAGGCUACACACGUGCUACAAUGGAUGGUACAACGAGUCGCGAAACCGCGAGGUCAAGCUAAUCUCUUAAAGCCAUUCUCAGUUCGGAUUGCAGGCUGCAACUCGCCUGCAUGAAGUUGGAAUCACUAGUAAUCGUGGAUCAGCACGCCACGGUGAAUACGUUCCCGGGCCUUGUACACACCGCC
rnacentral:rRNA from 1 species